AGCGAACGCUGGCGGCAGGCUUCACACAUGCAAGUCGAGCGGGCAUCCUUGUGGUGUCAGCGGCAGACGGGUGAGUAACGCGUGGGAACGUGCCCUUCGGUUCGGAAUAACUCAGGGAAACUUGAGCUAAUACCGGAUACGUGCGAGAGCAGAAAGGUUUAUCUGCCGAAGGAUCGGCCCGCGUCUGAUUAGCUAGUUGGUGAGGUUAUGGCUCACCAAGGCGACGAUCAGUAGCUGGUCUGAGAGGAUGAUCAGCCACACUGGGACUGAGACACGGCCCAGACUCCUACGGGAGGCAGCAGUGGGGAAUAUUGGACAAUGGGGGCAACCCUGAUCCAGCCAUGCCGCGUGAGUGAUGACGGCCUUAGGGUUGUAAAGCUCUUUUCUUCGGGACGAUAAUGACGGUACCGGAGGAAUAAGCCCCGGCUAACUUCGUG
rnacentral:rRNA from 1 species